UACGUAGGGCGCAAGCGUGUCCGGAAUUAUUGGGCGUAAAGAGCUCGUAGGCGGUUUGUUGCGUCGGCUGUGAAAUCCCGAGGCUCAACCUCGGGGUCUGCAGUCGAUACGAGCAAACUAGAGUGUUGCAGGGGAGACUGGAAUUCCUGGUGUAGCGGUGAAAAUGCGUAGAGAUCGGGGAGGAAUACCUGUGGCGAAGGCGGCCUACUGGGCCGGACCUGACGCUGAGACGCGAAGGCGUGGGGGAGCGAACGGGG
rnacentral:rRNA from 1 species